rnacentral:rRNA from 1 species
GAUGAACGCUAGCGACAGGCUUAACACAUGCAAGUCGAGGGGCAGCAUAAAAGUAGCAAUACUUUGGUGGCGACCGGCGCACGGGUGAGUAACGCGUAUGCAACCUACCUAUCAGAGGGGAAUAACCCGGCGAAAGUCGGACUAAUACCGCAUAAAACAGGGGCACCGCAUGGUGAUAUUUGUUAAAGAAAUUCGCUGAUAGAUGGGCAUGCGUUCCAUUAGGUAGUUGGUGGGGUAACGGCUCACCAAGCCGACGAUGGAUAGGGGAACUGAGAGGUUGGUCCCCCACACUGGUACUGAGACACGGACCAGACUCCUACGGGAGGCAGCAGUGAGGAAUAUUGGUCAAUGGGCGGGAGCCUGAACCAGCCAAGUCGCGUGAAGGAAGAAGGAUCUAUGGUUCGUAAACUUCUUUUGCAGGGGAAUAAAGUGCAGGACGUGUCCUGUUUUGUAUGUACCCUGAGAAUAAGGAUCGGCUAACUCCGUGCCAGCAGCCGCGGUAAAGUAGUCG